UACGUAGGGGCCGAGCGUUGUCCGGAGUUAUUGGGCGUAAAGCGCGCGCAGGCGGCCUCGCGCGCCCGACGUGAAAGCCCCCGGCUUAACCGGGAGGGUCGUUGGGGACGGCGGGGCUUGAGGGCGGGAGAGGGUGGUGGAAUUCCCGGUGUAGUGGUGAAAUGCGUAGAGAUCGGGAGGAACACCCGUGGCGAAGGCGGCCACCUGGGCCGACCCUGACGCUGAGGCGCGAAGGCGUGGGGAGCGAACGGG
rnacentral:rRNA from 1 species